UUGCCUAAGUGCUCCGGCUAGGUCUUCCAAUACUAUGUUGAAUAAUCUCUAAAAUUUGACAAAAGGCAAAGUGGCCCCAAGAAAGUAGUUUGAAACUAAGUGUUGAGCACUCAUGGAUCAACUCCUUUUUAUGAAGCCCCAUGUGGGUAACACAGGCAGCAGAAAUGAUCCGAAGUUACUACUGCUGUGAAACAAACCACCUUAGAACUUAAAAGGCAUAUUAAACAGUAAUACCUUCUCUCAGGGUUUCCAUGGGUUAAGAAUUUAGGAAAGGCUCUACCUGGCAGUUCUGACUCAGCAUCUGAUGCACUUACCCUUAGACAGUGGCUGGAGCUGGAAUAGGAAGUGGCUGGAAAAUUAGGGACUGGCCGUGCAUCUCCUUUGCUUGUAGUUUCAGGGCCUUUCAAUCUGGUCUCUCCACAUGGGCUGACUGGGCUUCCCCUAUAGCAUGGAUGCUUCAGGAUGGUAGAGCAUUUUUACAUGGUGGCUCGAGGACUGCCAGCUUGUGUGUUCCAACACACCAGCAGUAAGCUGCAUUGCCUUUUACAAGCUAGCCUUGGAAGCCAUAUAGCAUUACUGUCAUUAUCCAGUUACUUCUUGGAGACAGUCAUAAACUUUACUGACACCUUAUAACCGCCACGUCCACCCUCAUGAAGCCCAUCCCAGGUGGAAAGCAAGACCAGUCCAGAUGACACCAAGAUUAUGAGAAGGUAAGCUGUCCCACAUAGGUGGCCGUGAGAGCUCAGGGGGAGGAAUUAAGGAAAGGCAUGGUGGGCAUUGCCUUUGAGCUAGUUCCUAAACCAGAUUUUGACAUUUUCAGUGGCCUCAGCAAGGCCCAGAAGAAACAAAUGGUUGGUGAGCAACAGUAAGUGAUUGCUUGAUUGCAAUCCAAAGUAGCUAAAGGGGAGGAAUAAGCAAAGAGGCCAGAAACUGGGCCAGAUCAAGGAAUGCCCAACUGAGAAGCUUGGAUGGGGGAGAUAGGCAGAAAAGUAAAAGUUCCUUUUCCUUACAGACUCAAUUACCAUAGGAGAGAUAGUGGACUUUGCUCUUUGGCAGUGGCAAGACCUACCCCUCGCUCCCCCACCUCCUGAGUGUGUUGUUACAGGAGUUCACAUCAGUCUCCAACUUGGGCUACCUAAUAGUACCAGGCCUACUCAGAAGAGAUAUUCAAAGAAUAAGUAUGGACAAAGGCUGCUAGCUAGCACCAUGAAGACCUAUUGACCUAAAGACCACCAUGAAGUCCUACAAACCUAAAGCUGCUAUCCAGUACAGUGGCUAGAGUGAUUCAAAUGACCUGAAAUUUAAAAUUCAAUUUCCCAGUCAUACUAGCCACAUGUAGCUAGUGGCUACCACACCGAACAGCAGAAUAUUUCCAUCGUCAAAGAAACUACUAUUGGAUAGUGCUGUCAAGGUUCAAACCUAAGUGUGCCUUUUGCUCUGCAAGCCAUAGAAAUUAGGCUGGAGAGAGAAAAGAUUUUAUACUAAUUGACUGUAUUAUCCGGGUCAAGUCCCUUCCUAUUUCUAGGUGUCAGUUACACCAUGUGAGUCAUGUUUUUACUAGUUUAGUGAUUCACAGGAAGGAGUAAUAAAGCCGACACUAUGGUUACAUAGAAGACUGUCAUUUCUAGAUGUACAAUAUUUCAAUAUGAAGUAUGUGAUGUCUAUAUCUUAAAGUGGAUCCGAAAAAAAUGACAUGGAUAUUCACGAUACACAUAUACCUGUGUGUGCACAUGAAUGUCUAAAAUAUACACACACACAUACAUGCCUCACUUACAUAAAGAUAACCCAAUAUGGCAAAAUAUUUAUCACUGAAUCUGGAGGAGGAACACACAUUUGUUAUACUCUAUUGUUUGAAAUUUUAAUAAAAAGUUGAGAAAACACCA